rnacentral:rRNA from 1 species
GACGAACGCUGGCGGCGUGCCUAAUACAUGCAAGUCGAGCGAAUUUACGAGAGCUUGCUCUCGUAAAUUAGCGGCGGACGGGUGAGUAACACGUGGGCAACCUGCCUAUAAGACUGGGAUAACUUCGGGAAACCGGAGCUAAUACCGGAUAAUUCACAUCUACUCAUGUAGAUGUGCUGAAAGACGGUUUCGGCUGUCACUUAUAGAUGGGCCCGCGGCGCAUUAGCUAGUUGGUGAGGUAACGGCUCACCAAGGCCACGAUGCGUAGCCGAACUGAGGGUGUGAUCGGACACACUGGGACUGAGACACGGCCCAGACUCCUACGGGAGGCAGCAGUAGGGAAUCUUCCGCAACGGACGAAAGUCUGCCGGAGCAACGCCGCGUGAGUGAUGAAGGUUUUCGGAUCGUAAAACUCUGUUGUUAGGGAAGAACAAGUACCAGAGUAACUGCUGGUACCUUGACGGUACCUAACCAGAAAGCCACGGCUAACUACGUGCCAGCCGCCGCCGUAA